rnacentral:rRNA from 1 species
CCUACGGGGGGCAGCAGUGGGGAAUAUUGGACAAUGGGGGCAACCCUGAUCCAGCAAUGCCGCGUGGGUGACGAAGGCCUUCGGGUUGUAAAGCCCUUUCGCACGCGACGAUGAUGACGGUAGCGUGAGAAGAAGCCCCGGCUAACUUCGUGCCAGCAGCCGCGGUAAUACGAAGGGGGCUAGCGUUGUUCGGAAUCACUGGGCGUAAAGGGCGCGUAGGCGGCCCGUCAAGUCAGGCGUGAAAGCCCCGGGCUCAACCCGGGAACAGCGCUUGGGACUGGCGGGCUCGAGUUCGGGAGAGGGCGGCGGAAUUCCCAGUGUAGAGGUGAAAUUCGUAGAUAUUGGGAAGAACACCGGUGGCGAAGGCGGCCGCCUGGACCGACACUGACGCUGAGGCGCGACAGCGUGGGGAGCAAACAGGAUUAGAUACCCUAGUAGUC